UUCUUUCUUUUUCAAUUCUGUAUCAGUAGUUCCGAGGAAGUGCUCAACCUAGACGUUGUUGGACGAAGGAGGGGCGGAGCAGGUGCCAGUCAGGUAGGCGGCUCAAUGGGUGGGAGAUGGCAGCUGCCGAUCUCACACGGCUCCUGCGCCCCGCUACCCUCCCCUCCUCGGCUAAGUAGGAGGUUCGAGGGCAGCGACUAAGGAAGGAGCACAUCGGCGAUGAGGGCUAGCAAUAGCAAGACGCAACUGUCAGGCUCAGAUCGGCGAGACCCGUGCCAAUGCAUGAGAGUCCAUGGUAUCAUACGAUUUGAAGUUGAAAAAUUCAUGCUAUGGGUGAUACGGAAAAGUCAUUGCCUUCUUUGCUGGAACAUUUCCUAAGAUGAUAUAAGGUAAUUAUUUUAGUCACCAUG